GACGUAGGGGGCAAGCGUUGUUCGGAAUUACUGGGUGUAAAGGGCUCGUAGGCGGUGUGGCAAGUCGGGUGUGAAAUCUCUGGGCUCAACCCAGAGCCUGCUUCCGAAACUGCUGUGCUUGAGUGUGGGAGAGGCGCGUGGAAUUGCAGGUGUAGCGGUGAAAUGCGUAGAUAUCUGCAGGAACACCCGUGGCGAAAGCGGCGCACUGGAUCGCUUCUGACGCUGAGGCGCGAAAGCUAGGGGAGCAAACGGG
rnacentral:rRNA from 1 species